AUUGAACGCUGGCGGCAUGCUUUACACAUGCAAGUCGAACGGCAGCGCGGGCUUCGGCCUGGCGGCGAGUGGCGAACGGGUGAGUAAUACAUCGGAACGUGCCCAGUAGUGGGGGAUAGCUCGGCGAAAGCCGGAUUAAUACCGCAUACGACCUGAGGUUGAAAGCGGGGGAUCUUCGGACCUCGCGCUAUUGGAGCGGCCGAUGGCAGAUUAGCUAGUUGGUGGGGUAAAGGCCUACCAAGGCGACGACCUGUAGCUGGUCUGAGAGGACGACCAGCCACACUGGGACUGAGACACGGCCCAGACUCCUACGGGAGGCAGCAGUGGGGAAUUUUGGACAAUGGGCGAAAGCCUGAUCCAGCAAUGCCGCGUGUGUGAUGAAGGCCUUCGGGUUGUAAAGCACUUUUGGCGGGAACGAAAAGGACUGUGCCAAUACCACGGUUCGAUGACGGUACCCGCAGAAUAAGCACCGGCUAACUACGUG
rnacentral:rRNA from 1 species